ACUUUCUUAGUAUAAUACAGAGUACAGCUGACUUCCAAUCAGCUAGU
rnacentral:tRNA from 1 species